rnacentral:rRNA from 1 species
GACGAACGCUGGCGGCGUGCCUAAUACAUGCAAGUCGAACGCUUCUUUCCUCCCGAGUGCUUGCACUCAAUUGGAAAGAGGAGUGGCGGACGGGUGAGUAACACGUGGGUAACCUACCCAUCAGAGGGGGAUAACACUUGGAAACAGGUGCUAAUACCGCAUAACAGUUUAUGCCGCAUGGCAUAAGAGUGAAAGGCGCUUUCUGGUGUCGCUGAUGGAUGGACCCGCGGUGCAUUAGCUAGUUGGUGAGGUAACGGCUCACCAAGGCCACGAUGCAUAGCCGACCUGAGAGGGUGAUCGGCCACACUGGGACUGAGACACGGCCCAGACUCCUACGGGAGGCAGCAGUAGGGAAUCUUCGGCAAUGGACGAAAGUCUGACCGAGCAACGCCGCGUGAGUGAAGAAGGUUUUCGGAUCGUAAAACUCUGUUGUUAGAGAAGAACAAGGACGUUAGUAACUGAACGUCCCCUGACGGUAGCUAAACAGAAAGCCACGGCUAACUACGUG